rnacentral:rRNA from 1 species
GGAAUGAACGCUGGCGGCGUGCUUAACACAUGCAAGUCGAACGAUGAAGCCCAGCUUGCUGGGUGGAUUAGUGGCGAACGGGUGAGUAACACGUGAGUAACCUGCCCUUAACUCUGGGAUAAGCCUGGGAAACUGGGUCUAAUACCGGAUAGGAGCGUCYACCGCAUGGUGGGUGYUGGAAAGAUUUAUCGGUUUUGGAUGGACUCGCGGCCUAUCAGCUUGUUGGUGAGGUAAUGGCUCACCAAGGCGACGACGGGUAGCCGGCCUGAGAGGGUGACCGGCCACACUGGGACUGAGACACGGCCCAGACUCCUACGGGAGGCAGCAGUGGGGAAUAUUGCACAAUGGGCGCAAGCCUGAUGCAGCGACGCCGCGUGAGGGAUGACGGCCUUCGGGUUGUAAACCUCUUUCAGUAGGGAAGAAGCGAAAGUGACGGUACCUGCAGAAGAAGCACCGGCUAACUACGUGCCAGCAGCCGCGGUAAUACGUAGGGUGCGAGCGUUAUCCGGAAUUAUUGGGCGUAAAGAGCUCGUAGGCGGUUUGUCGCGUCUGUCGUGAAAGUCCGGGGCUUAACCCCGGAUCUGCGGUGGGUACGGGCAGACUAGAGUGCAGUAGGGGAGACUGGAAUUCCUGGUGUAGCGGUGGAAUGCGCAGAUAUCAGGAGGAACACCGAUGGCGAAGGCCAGGUCUCUGGGCUGUAACURACGCUAGA